rnacentral:lncRNA from 1 species
AAAGAAAAAGAUAAUUGUAAUUUUUCCAGUAGAAUGACGAAUGAUGAGAGAGCAGAUCCAGUGGAUCGCAGAAACCUAUCCAACUUUACGGUUGAGAAUGGUAAGACAAAACACGAGGGACUACUCAAAGUCCACUGAUACUAAAAGCGCGCAUGUGAGGGCAGAGUGGGUUGUGACGUCAGCAUCAGUCGAGCCACGCAGAUAAAUCUGGACCGUCGAUUGGUUUGCGCGAUCCACGGUGGUACGCUUUUGGCGGUAGCGUCAGGAAAAUAUAUGUGACUAUGAUUGAGUGGAUCUGACGUGGUGUGCGGUAAAGUCUAUUUUUUUUUUUUUAUAAUCGUGGGGGGUUCCCGACAUGGUGACGUGUCCUGCAGGCACAUGGCUUUACUACGCAACGUAAGUGGGCCCGGUUGACGUGGACUGGAAGGGAAAUAUUGAGAUUAGAUCCGAUUUUAUGUAUUUUCUUUCCCCAUGUAUUUGUCAAGUUAGGAAUCCGUCCUUUUUUACAUAAUUACCCUCGAUCGACCUGCGUAUUAACGGAAAUAACCCCGGCAGCCGCUAAUUUUGAAACUUACCUCUAGAUUUCUGGAAGUCCCCGUUCACACUAGGAAACCAAACACCCCAUUAAACCCUUUUUGUUCAGAAACAUUUUUUUUAAAUAAUAAAAAUCCGUAUCUAACUUUAUUCGGUAUUAGAAAUUGAAAAUUCGAAAAUGAAAAGUUUGGUUAAAUGAUAUAUA